rnacentral:rRNA from 1 species
UGAGGAAUAUUGCGCAAUGGACGGAAGUCUGACGCAGCAACGCCGCGUGAGCGAAGAAGGCCUUCGGGUCGUAAAGCUCUUUUCUGAGGGACGAGGAAGGACGGUACCUCAGGAAUCAGUCUCGGCUAACUACGUGCCAGCAGCCGCGGUAAAACGUAGGAGGCAAGCGUUAUCCGGAUUUAUUGGGCGUAAAGCGCAUGCAGGUGGUUCCGCAAGUCGGAUGUAAAAGCUCCUGGCUUAACUGGGAGAGGUCGUUCGAAACUGCGGGACUGGAGGUCGGAAGAGGGAAGCGGAAUUCCCGGUGUAGUGGUGGAAUGCGUAGAUAUCGGGAGGAACACCAGUGGCGAAAGCGGCUUCCUGGUCCGCACCUGACACUCAGAUGCGAAAGCGUGGGGAGCGAACG